rnacentral:rRNA from 1 species
AAUAGAUACCCCGGUAGUCCACGCCGUAAACGAUGAGUGCUAAGUGUUAGGGGGUUUCCGCCCCUUAGUGCUGCAGCUAACGCAUUAAGCACUCCGCCUGGGGAGUACGGCCGCAAGGCUGAAACUCAAAGGAAUUGACGGGGGCCCGCACAAGCGGUGGAGCAUGUGGUUUAAUUCGAAGCAACGCGAAGAACCUUACCAGGUCUUGACAUCCUCUGACAAUCCUAGAGAUAGGACGUUUCCCUUCGGGGAACAGAGUGACAGGUGGUGCAUGGUUGUCGUCAGCUCGUGUCGUGAGAUGUUGGGUUAAGUCCCGCAACGAGCGCAACCCUUGAUCUUAGUUGCCAGCAUUCAGUUGGGCACUCUAAGGUGACUGCCGGUGACAAACCGGAGGAAGGUGGGGAUGACGUCAAAUCAUCAUGCCCCUUAUGACCUGGGCUGCACACGUGCUACAAUGGAUGGUACAAAGGGCUGCAAGACCGCGAGGUUUAGCCAAUCCCAUAAAACCAUUCUCAGUUCGGAUUGCAGG